UGGGGAAUAUUGGACAAUGGGCGCAAGCCUGAUCCAGCGACGCCGCGUGAGUGAUGAAGGCCUUCGGGUUGUAAAGCUCUGUUGAGGGGGAAGAAAACGGUCGGCGCGAAUAGCUCCGAUCCUUGACGGUACCUCUUUAGAAAGCACCGGCUAACUCUGUGCCAGCAGCCGCGGUAAGACAGAGGGUGCAAACGUUGCUCGGAAUUACUGGGCGUAAAGCGCGUGUAGGCGGGCUGAUAAGUCGGACGUGAAAUCCCUGGGCUCAACCCAGGAACUGCGUUCGAAACUGCCAGUCUUGAGUAGUGGAGAGGAAAGCAGAAUUCCUGGUGUAGAGGUGAAAUUCGUAGAUAUCAGGAGGAACACCGGUGGCGAAGGCGGCUUUCUGGACACUUACUGACGCUGAGACGCGAAAGCGUGGGGAGCAAACAGGAUUAGAUACCCCCGUAGUCC
rnacentral:rRNA from 1 species